AUUGAACGCUGGCGGCGUGCUUAACACAUGCAAGUCGUGCGGUAACAGGCGUAGCAAUACGUGCUGACGAGCGGCGAACGGGUGCGUAAUACAUGGGAAUCUGCCCUUUAGUGGGGAAUAACCCGGCGAAAGCCGGGCUAAUGCCGCAUAAGAUCUUCGGAUGAAAGCGGGGAGUCGUAAGACCUCGCGCUGAUGGAUGAGCCCACUGCCGGAGUUAGCAGUUGGUGAGGUAACGGCUCACCAAGGCGACGAUCCGUAGCUGGUCUGAGAGGACGGCCAGCCACACUGGGACUGAGACACGGCCCAGACUCCUACGGGAGGCAGCAGUGGGGAAUUUUCCGCAAU
rnacentral:rRNA from 1 species